UCCACCGGGGCUAAUGCCGGAUAACAUUUAGAACCGCAUGGUUCUAAAGUGAAAGAUGGUUUUGCUAUCACUUAUAGAUGGACCCGCGCCGUAUUAGCUAGUUGGUAAGGUAAUGGCUUACCAAGGCAACGAUACGUAGCCGACCUGAGAGGGUGAUCGGCCACACUGGAACUGAGACACGGUCCAGACUCCUACGGGAGGCAGCAGUAGGGAAUCUUCCGCAAUGGGCGAAAGCCUGACGGAGCAACGCCGCGUGAGUGAUGAAGGGUUUCGGCUCGUAAAACUCUGUUAUUAGGGAAGAACAAACGUGUAAGUAACUGUGCACGUCUUGACGGUACCUAAUCAGAAAGCCACGGCUAACUACGUGCCAGCAGCCGCGG
rnacentral:rRNA from 1 species